CUCUGCUCUUCUCUCUCUCUUUCUGAGAAGAACCUCUUGGACACUGUUUUGGGAACACCUGGACAUCACCAUCACCUGGGUAGUGCUGCUUCAACAUGUUAUACAGCUCUGACAAGCUACCUUCAUUAAAUGACUGUACUUGAGGAACAGCGUUUGUCAGGGUAAAGGUGGAGUCCUGAUUAACGGGUUGGUUGAAGCACAUCCCACCCCAUCACCCAGACAGAUGUAAAGAAGUUGGGAACCUCCCGACCAACAGGAACAUCACCCUCUCAGGAGUUAGUCAGGAGGUUAUUCAGCAACAUCACCCUCUCAGGAGGUUAGUCAGGAGGUUAUUCAGCAACAUCACCCUCUCAGGAGGUUAGUCAGCAACAUCACCCUCUCAGGAGGUUAUUCAGCAACAUCACCCUCUCAGGAGGUUAUUCAGCAACAUCACCCUCUCAGGAGUUAGUCAGGAGGUUAUUCAGCAACAUCACCCUCUCAGGAGUUAGUCAGGAGGUUAUUCAGCAACAUCACCCUCUCAGGAGGUUAGUCAGGAGGUUAUUCAGCAACAUCACCCUCUCAGGAGGUUAGUCAGGAGUUUAUUCAGCAACAUCACCCUCCCAGGAGUUUAGUUACCAUCACUAUGGUUAGAUAGAAGUAGAUUCACACAUGCUGUUAUCUAUCAUGCAUAAUUGUCCGCUCAUUAUAACUUAUAAAGCUCAUUCUAAGA